AACGAACGCUGGCGGCAUGCCUAACACAUGCAAGUCGAACGAGACCUUCGGGUCUAGUGGCGCACGGGUGCGUAACGCGUGGGAACCUGCCCUUAGGUUCGGAAUAACUCCCCGAAAGGGGUGCUAAUACCGGAUAAUGUCUUCGGACCAAAGAUUUAUCGCCUUUGGAUGGGCCCGCGUUGGAUUAGCUAGUUGGUAGGGUAAAAGCCUACCAAGGCGACGAUCCAUAGCUGGUCUGUGAGGAUGAUCAGCCACACUGGGACUGAGACACGGCCCAGACUCCUACGGGAGGCAGCAGUGGGGAAUAUUGGACAAUGGGCGGAAGCCUGAUCCAGCAAUGCCGCGUGAGUGAUGAAGGCCUUAGGGUUGUAAAGCUCUUUUACCCGGGAUGAUAAUGACAGUACCGGGAGAAUAAGCUCCGGCUAACUCCGUG
rnacentral:rRNA from 1 species